GAUGAACGCUGGCGGCGUGCUUAACACAUGCAAGUCGAACGGUGAAGCAGGAGCUUGCUCUUGUGGAUCAGUGGCGAACGGGUGAGUAACACGUGAGCAACCUGCCCCUGACUCUGGGAUAAGUGCUGGAAACGGCGUCUAAUACUGGAUAUGUGAUGUGACCGCAUGUCUGCAUCUGGAAAGAAUUUCGGUUGGGGAUGGGCUCGCGGCCUAUCAGCUUGUUGGUGAGGUAAUGGCUCACCAAGGCGUCGACGGGUAGCCGGCCUGAGAGGGUGACCGGCCACACUGGGACUGAGACACGGCCCAGACUCCUACGGGAGGCAGCAGUGGGGAAUAUUGCACAAUGGGCGGAAGCCUGAUGCAGCAACGCCGCGUGAGGGAUGACGGCCUUCGGGUUGUAAACCUCUUUUAGCAGGGAAGAAGCGAAAGUGACGGUACCUGCAGAAAAAGCACCGGCUAACUACGUGCCAGCCGCCGCGGUAA
rnacentral:rRNA from 1 species